GAUGAACGCUAGCCACAGGCUUAACACAUGCAAGUCGAGGGGUAACGAGAGGGAAGCUUGCUUUCCUUGUCGACGACCGGCGCGCGGGUGAGUAACGCGUAUCCAACCUGCCCCCAACUAGGGAAUAACCUUGCGAAAGUAAGACUAAUACCCUAUAAUUUCCUCAGAUGUCAUCUGACGAGGAAUAAAGAUUUAUCGGUUGUGGAUGGGGAUGCGUCUGAUUAGCUUGUUGGCGAGGUAACGGCCCACCAAGGCAACGAUCAGUAGGGGUUCUGAGAGGAAGGUCCCCCACAUUGGAACUGAGACACGGUCCAAACUCCUACGGGAGGCAGCAGUGAGGAAUAUUGGUCAAUGGGCGGAAGCCUGAACCAGCCAAGUAGCGUGCAGGAUGACGGCCCUAUGGGUUGUAAACUGCUUUUAUACAGGAAUAAAGUUAGCCACGUGUGGUUAUUUGUAGGUACUGUAUGAAUAAGGACCGGCUAAUUCCGUGCCAGCAGCCGCGGUAA
rnacentral:rRNA from 1 species